AUAUAUAUAUAUAUAUAUAUAUAUAUGUAACGGUACAUGUAUUCCUCCUGAACCAUACGGUACGGACAUUACGGUUCGGUUCAUGCAGUUAGACAACGAAUACAGACAGUCACAGGUGAUCCACACUCCAAUCCAGAAGGGGGCGCGUGUGGUAAUGCAACACUAUAUGCUAACUGCCACAACAGGAAAAAGUGCAGAAGAAGAACAGAUUAUCUAGAUAUGGGUGUAAUCUCUCAACCGGUGUUUCAACCGUGGAAAAACAUCAAUAAAACAGCUUGAGAAUAUCUCACGCAGCAUUACAUUUACCUCAGAGGAAAGAAAGUUAACUGGCUUUAGAACAACAUGAGGUGCAGGAGACGGAUAGAGUGCAGGAAGACCUGGGUGGAGUGACAGAAAUGACCUCAGGUUGAGGUCUGACAACCGUCGGAAACCAGUUUGACUAGAAUUCAAAGCUGUCAAAUGUGUGUGUGCACAAGAGAGAGUGUACACAAACGUUUAUACACACUCCUCGGUUUUAAGUAGCGUUACAUCAUACCCUUUGGUAACUGUAAGUCAGUCAAACAGGGCGGGUUGGCGUUUACUGCGGCCUUCCUGCUGUCUGAGCCAGCACUCUCCCAAGACGGCACGAUGGAUGGAGGGAACGGACGAGACGGCGCGCUAGAUGGAGAAACGAUGCUGGCUCGCUCACUAGUGUGGAUAGCUCUGACACGGAGCAUGUUUUAUUGGCCAAGAGGAACUCCCUGGUUGCAGACUGCCUUAUUUUGGGAAAGUCUUUGUCAUAGUUUUGACAAAGACACACAAGAUUAAACUUUCACCCUGGUUUUUGCUCAUCAGACAGACGGCUCUGGAAGUCAUCAAGGAAUUGAUUGAAUAUCGAGCCUAAAGUAGCAAACAGGACAGGCUAAAAUGAAACCUAAACCACUUAGGGUGUGUUCACACUUGUAGGUCGGUUCUCUUGGUCUGAACCAAAAAGAAACACACACACUCAUUCAUUACUCUUCUACAUAUGUGAGACAGAUCUCAUUAUACAUACAGCAAUUUACAGUUAGAUCUCGUACUCCACACUUGGGCACAACAUAAAAGCUCACCGUACGCCACACACUGUCACCCAUUUAUUUUUUUCCAAACCCCCAAAGAAGCGAAAUGCAACCAUUUCCUGCUCCAGCAUCCUCUGAGCGGAGCAUCUGCGUUAAACGACCGUAAAACUGUCUAUAUCAGGACUUCCUUCAAUUCUCCUUUGAAGGGCGUCUUCCUGGGAAUGCCGAUCCCGAACUGAAAGGUAGGAAUUCCUGCUGCGGGGAGCAAACACAGGAACGAGGGGACCACACGGACACAAGGCACGAAUGGGAGGUUUCCUCUUCUCUUUUCGUGCUGGCACAAAGUUCUCGCCCAUAUGGACGUCUAUAGACUGACAUAUUGCAUGCGAGAGCCUGAAGAACAGACUCAUGGAUUCCAAGAUUUACUUCCCUAAUCAAAGGGAAUAAACACAAGAAGCUGAUUUCAAAAGCUCUUGGCCAUUUGGAGAAGUGCCUGCAUGGAACGUGGCUGUAAAAGUCAUUGUUAGAUUAUUGCAAGAGGGGAAAAAAUGUCUCCCUUUUAAGCACCGCUGCUGUGUACAAAUGUGAUUUGCAUGUGCAAAUCUGGAGUUUUUGUCUCUUUAUUGUCUUGCAAUGUCAGCAAUGAAAUAAACCAUGCAGAAGUAAAGUUUGAAUCCUUAGCAAAACAUUUUCAA